CUGCAGCAAACCCCCUUCUCGCCUCUAUCCUGGGGGAUUUGUGUUCACGCACCUGAGUGCUAAGGAGGAGCUUCAGUGGGAGUUUUCUCCUUUCCAGCUUGAUCCUGUAGAACGCAGACACCCCUAUGGAGAAGGUCAGAUUCUCAGGGAGGGAGGGAACAUUGAUCCAAACAUUUCCAACUCAGUGCUGGGCUCGGAAAACACAAGGUUGAAUCAAAAGGGAUUUUUUCAAAAACAAAGAGCCACAAAAGGGAUUGUCCUUUCAAGCCCAAAGGUGUCUAAUGCUCAUGAUCUACUGAAAUCGCACUGCAGCUGGGAGUUAGAGAAGUGUCUCUAUCCCGAACAGAGGUGGGGAAAAUAGAGGGAUUGAAAAGCCUCCUAGCUCAUCUCCCAGUCCAGGGUGCCUUUCCCUGGUUAAAUCUCAGAGCGCUGACAACAGUGGCCGCGGCCGGUCUCCCAGUUUCUACACCUGGCCCUGUCGGCAGCAGGGCAUUGCACCGCCCGGCACAGCACCUUCCGCAGCUCACAUUGUGGCGGGAAAGCAAGGAAGGGGGCCAGGGACGGGCCAACUCGGAGCAUCUGCCACCCAGCUCCACGCCACCUAGAGCAAAUCUGGAGAUUAACAGGAUGCAAGUAGCACAAACAGCUUCAUCGGCGCGUCCCCUCCCCCGCCUGGUGCUGAGCCCCCCUGGCCCCCCACCCAUGGGGCUGGGUGGGACACCACCAGCUGGAGGGAGGGCUGUGGGGGGGGGGCUAUAAGCCGAGCCCGUUCUCUGGGGGAGAAUCACUCUGUCACCCUCUGGUGGCCGAUGCUUCUUGCCCCGUCUCUCCAGUGACUCCCCCUGGGUUCACGCUAUGCCGGAGGGUGGGGGGCUCCCCUGCACUCCAGGGGCGCUGCCCGUGGGGCUCCUGGCUGACAUCGAUGGCAGCGUACAGGACGGGCUCGGGGGCAGGAGACGCCCCACCCCGCUUGGCCUGCAGCACCUGGCCAUCCAGUUCCCUGUAGGUGAGUCCCUCGGGGUCGGGCUCCAGGGGCUGGGCGGGGAGAGAGACACUGUGUGUGUGUGUGUGUGCCAACACCAACACGGACACACACCAGACAGUCCUGAUCCCACUCCCAGCCACCAGGGGGCACCGAUUCUCCCCCAGUCUUCCCCCCACACACCCUGCUGAACAGUUGCUCUGACACUCUCUGUCCUGUCCAGCAGGGGGCUCCCGAGAGCUGCUCUCUCCCCCCCCCCCCCAGGGAAUCCAGUAACACCCCCCGCCCCCAUCACCCACUCCAGCCCACAGAGCCCCAUGGGGCAGAGAUCAGGGAAAUUCCCCCCCCCCGACACCUGCCCCCCAUGGAAUUGCGCUGAUCCUCCCCAAAUCUUACACAAAUGCAAACGUUUGGAAGACAGUUUGAGGGGGGGAGUCGAGGUGAGUUGGGGGGGUGCAGGC